UACGUAGGGUGCGAGCGUUGUCCGGAAUCACUGGGCGUAAAGCGCACGUAGGCGGCUUCUCAAGUCAGGGGUGAAAUCCUGGAGCUCAACUCCAGAACUGCCUUUGAUACUGAGGGGCUCGAGUCCGGGAGAGGUGAGUGGAACUGCGAGUGUAGAGGUGAAAUUCGUAGAUAUUCGGAGGAACACCAGAAGCGAAGGCGGCCAACUGGCCCGAUACUGACGCUGAGGCGCGAAAGCGUGGGGAGCAAACAGG
rnacentral:rRNA from 1 species